CCUACGGGAGGCUGCAGUGAGGAAUAUUGGUCAAUGGGCGCGAGCCUGACCCAGCCAAGUAGCGUGAGGGAUGACUGCCCUAUGGGUUGUAAACUUCUUUUAUAAGGGGAUAAAGGUCUGCACGUGUGUAUGUUUGUAUGUACUUCAUGAAUAAGGACCGGCUAAUUCCGUGGCAGCAGCCGCGGUAAUACGGAGGAUCCGGGCGUUAUCCGGAUUUAUUGGGUUUAAAGGGAGCGUAGAUGGGUUGUUAAGACAGUAGUGAAAGUUUGGGGCUCAACCGUGAAAUUGCAGUGGAUACUGGGAGCCUUGAGUACAGUGGAGGUAGGCGGAAUUCGUGGUGUAGCGGUGAAAUGCUUAGAUAUCACGAAGAACUCCGAUUGCGAAGGCAGCCU
rnacentral:rRNA from 1 species